GAGAAAACAACCUGGUUCCUGGAAGGAGAGAAACAAGGUGGAGUCUUCUCACAGAAACAAGGAGAAGGUCAGAGAGACCUCCGGGAGCAUCUCAUCUUGGAGGAAUCAUUUCUUAUUUUCCACAGACACCACAAGCUCAAGAGGCUGCAUUAGCGUUUUUUAUUGGAGGCAUUUUCUUUUCCUCCAGAUUUUGUUUUUGACUGUUAAGGUCAUAGCUACAAACAAUUGAUCAAGCCUAAAAGGGCAUUUAUAAACCACCUGCAUCUACAUUUUUUUCUUACUGUGGAUGGAUUUAAAAAGCCGUUUCAAGAUGAAAUCUUAUGAGUCAUUAUCAUGUCUUCUGAGGGCUGAGAUAUAACUUUGAAGUAGAGCCCAAACAUGAAGAUCAUGAAGAUGGCUUCUUCUCCAAAUGAUGUUAUCUUAAAAACUUGAAAAAGACAAAAAAAAAAAAAAAAAAAAAGAAGAAGAAAAAGAAAAAAGAAAGAAAAAAAGAGAGAGCGAGCCAAGGGAACUUGAAUCAGACAAACCUGGUUCAAAGUGAUUAUUCAACAAAUGUAAGCUGUUAUCAUCUUGUCCUCCAUCAUUCAAAUAUGUCCUGUAUAGAUCUUCCAUUAAUUUCAAAUAUCUAAUGAUCUACACCAUCAAAUAUUAUGAAGGUGAUGUUUAGCAGGUCAUUGGCUAAGACAGGCUCUACCUCAGUCUCUAAUAGAGAAGGAAAGACAAGUAGCAUUUACUAACACCCACAGUAUGCUUCAUAUUGUUGCCAGAAAUUUCAAAUGCACCAUCUAUUGAUGCAUGGAAUCCUUUCAACAUUCUUAGAAGGUGAGUGUUAUCUUAACUUUUCAUUUUAGGAAAAUGAAGCUGAGAGUGGUUAAGUAUCUUGCUUAAGGUAAUAUUCAUACCAUGGGGAGGAUCAUUAUAGUUGACCAGUUAAAUACGUGAAUUGAAGGUAAUAUCACAGAUCCCUGCUACUCAAAAUGUGGUCCACUGACCAGCAUCGCUGGCAUUACCUGGGAGCUUGUUAGAAAUGCAGCGCCUCAGGCGUCACCCUGUCCCUACGGAAGCAGAAGCUGCAUUUUUCACGUGGAUCUCCUGGCGAUUUCUGCGAACAUUUACUGCUGUUAUAGAAGAGACCCAAGCACCCAUAUCCACUACCUCUGUCAUUUUACCAGUGAGGAA
rnacentral:lncRNA from 10 species